rnacentral:rRNA from 1 species
UACGAAGGAUCCAAGCGUUAUCCGGAUUCAUUGGGUUUAAAGGGUGCGUAGGCGGUUUUGUAAGUCAGUUGUGAAAUCUCUCAGCUUAACUGAGAAACUGCCAUUGAUACUGCAGAACUAGAGUACAGAUGACGUUGGCGGAAUGUGUCAUGUAGCGGUGAAAUGCAUAGAUAUGACACAGAACACCGAUUGCGAAGGCAGCUGACGAAACUGCAACUGACGCUGAUGCACGAAAGUGCGGGGAUCAAACAGG